AAUUUACUGUAUACACUUUCUGCAGUUGUGCUGUGAAAGGGUUAACUUUCCUUUGGCCUGUCUCUUCCCCAGUGACUAACAUGUAUUAAUAAAAUCAGACUCUGCUGAGGGUGCAAGGGUGUCUGCCCUUUGUGCAUCCUUACAGGCUGUUAAUAACUAUUGUUCCUCUUUUAUUCUGCAAACCACUUGCACUUUUGACUUGUGUGGUCGGGCCCUACCUGGCUGCCUGCAAGCACGUGGGACGGGCUCUCUGUGUUUAUAAAGAGGGGACUUCCCCUUCUUCUGUGUGCUUUGUGAAUAAAACUCUCAUCUCUAUACGAGAGUGUUUGUUCAUCAUUGCACCGAGAGCUCUCUGUCUUGAGACUCAGUGGGAUUUGCCGAGCUGGUUUAUCGCUUCAUUCUCUGGUUUCUGAGGGAGAACACUGUUCAAGGAGACCCUUCCUAACAUGCUGCAUUUGCAAAGCUGCAGUCCUCAUCACAGAUAGCAUUACUCUGCAGACAAGCUGUGGUUGGAAACAAGUCGUUUCAACGAAAAAAAGGUUUCAGGUAGCAGCUCUCAGACCAAACUAUACAGCCUAAAUCUUCGGGCAGCUUCUAGAUGUUUCUAAAAUCUCACGUACUCAUCAGUGCCGGAUGCAUACAGAGUACAACAUGAUUGUGAUUGCUCUUCUGGCUUUGCUCCAGAUAUUGGCCACCGAUGCCAAAUUGUCAGCAUGGCUGAAGCACAAGGGUCCUGAACCUGAAGAAACAGCAGUGGCAGUGGCUGGUAUAGAGAUUUUACAUUAUUUUGUGUUUAUCUCGCCCAGUUUCAGCUCAUAUAUCCUGCAUUCACAUCAGAAAAAGAGAAGUGGGGCAGGAAAGCUUAGUCGUUCUCAUUAAUUUUGCUAUUUACCCUGAUUUCAGUUCUUUAAUGUGAUGUUUGUUUAUCUACUAAUGUGUUCCAUAAAUUUUGAUGAACCUGAAAUUUAACAAUUAACUGGUGCUAAGACAGGGCUGCAAAAGUAUUGGCACCUUACUGAUUCCCUCUGUUGCGUAUUCGUCACACUGGAUGGUUUCAAAACUUGAGAAAACACAUAACAAACACAACUUUAGAAGCUCGUUUCAUGUGCUGAAGGAAAACGUUUUGCCGCACCUACAGCACCAAUGUGAAAAAACACACCUUUAGCAGCAACUCCUGCAAACAAUUACCUUCUGUAACUGGAUAUCACUCUUCCACAUCGCUGUGGAGGAAUGACGGCCCACUCUUCUUUGCAGAAUUCUGCCACAGUGGGGGGCAUUCUUUUAUUCUUUUAUUCUUUUCUUUUUUAUUCCAUUUCUGUGAGGUUUCCCCACCGUUUCGUUAUUUCCAUUUGGAGAUAAUGGCUCACACUGUAGUUCGCUGGAGUCACAGAGCUUUAGAAAUGCCUAUGUUCCCCUUUCCAGGCUGAAAUAUUUUAAAAGCUUUUCUUUCUCCUCCAGAACGUCCUCUGAUUGUGGCGUAAAGUGCAGCUCAUUGAGAUCUUUUAGCCUAAUUCACAGUGUUGAAAAGGUUCCUUCUCAGUGACGUUUAGAUUCAACAGGGCUUGCAGUGAUCAGAGUCUGAAUCUUUUGGUCAUUCGAUUUUCUAAUCAAAGGAUGGCGUUAAAGUAGAGACACACAAGGUAAAAUAUUACUCCAGUAAAAGUAGAAGAUCCUCCCUUUAGACCUCCACUUGAGUAAAACAGGCCUGUGAUUUCUGAGUUUCUGUUUCCGGUUAAGGCGAUAUACAUUUUUUAUUUGGAUAAUUCAAAUCCAACCCUUUAUUCCUUCGUUGUUUGUUUGUUUUUGGAUUUUUUGAUUAGUUUGUGAAACUUUAAAGUGAAGCUGCUUCUUGUCUUUUCAAGUCACAAUAACAGAACCAAAAAUGAGAACUGACCCAUUUUCUGGUUUUUCAAUGCUGGUUUUGAAAUUUGAAUGACCAAAAUACACAGACUACAAAAUACCAAUCAGACCAAUCAGGCCUGGGAGUGUGUAGGUUAAGUAAUUUUAGCUACUGUUAGAUAAUUUUUUCCUUCACUAAAUGAAAUGAUCGUUUAAAAACUGUAUUUUGUGUUUACGAAAAAUUGUUUUCUAUUAGAUUUUUUUGGAAGACAUAGGGGUGAGUUACUUUUUCACAGCGC
ensembl:lncRNA